rnacentral:misc_RNA from 1 species
CGCACAUUGCGCCCCUUGGUAUUCCGAUGGGCAUGCCUGUUCGAGCGUCAUUUCAACCCUCAAGCCCAGCUUGGUACUGGACGCGGUCCUGGGACCCGUCUGCAACCCGUUGGCGGUACCGUCCGGCCCUAAGCGUAGCAAUGACCUCGCUUUGGGAGCCCGCGGCGGCGCCCGCCAGAGGAACCACCGAAUUUUCAAGUUUGACCUCGGAUCAGGUAGGGAUACCCGCUGAACUUAA